rnacentral:rRNA from 1 species
CAGUCGCCGCGGUAAUACGUAGGUGGCAAGCGUUGUCCGGAAUUAUUGGGCGUAAAGGGCUCGCAGGCGGUUUCUUAAGUCUGAUAUGGAAGCCCCCGGCUCAACCGGGGAGGGUCAUUGGAAACUGGGAAACUUGAGUGCAGAAGAGGAGAGUGGAAUUCCACGUGUAGCGGUGAAAUGCGUAGAGAUGUGGAGGAGCACCAGUGGCGAAGGCGACUCUCUGGUCUGUAACUGACGCUGAGGAGCGAAAGCGUGGGGAGCGAACAGGAUUAGAUACCCCUGUAGUCCCUGUCUCUUAUAC